UGAUGGUGGUGGGGACAACUAAUGAGUAGGUAUUUAAACCUAUCCCAAGCUUGAUAUAAAUUUUUUCCAGUCUUUUAUUUAAAGCUUAAGAUUUCACUUUUCAACUA